GAUGUUGGUGCUUGUGUUCAUUCUGCAUCUCAUUCCUUAGUAGCAGUUGCUGUUGUAGUAGCUUGAUCUUUUUCUAAUGCUUUUCUUCGCCUGAGGAGACUUUAGUGUGGCCCUGUCUUUCCUUUCACCUGUCUCUCUAAAAUACCUUAUCAUUCAUAUGUUAUAUUCCAUGUGAAUACUUUCUCUUUCUGGAACAGGUUCCCUUGUUUGUUCCGUUGCUUUCACUUUAAGAAUCAUAUGGGCAUCUGCAUGCUAUACGUCUAGUACAAUUGCCAUUGAUAGUUCCUUUGUGCUAAGGCGAGUUCUACUUGUUUG
rnacentral:lncRNA from 1 species